rnacentral:tRNA from 1 species
GUUUCCUGUGGCUCAGUUGGUCGAGAAUUGCGCUAACAACACAAAAAGCAUGGGUUCAAAUCCCAAAGAAAGCU